rnacentral:rRNA from 1 species
GAUGAACGCUGGCGGCGUGCCUAACCCUUGCAAGUCGAGCGAGAUACACCUAAUUGAAACUUCGGUCGAAAGAAGGUGUGGAAAGCGGCGGACGGGUGAGUAACCCGUAGGCAACCUGCCCCUUACACAGGGAUAGCCUUUGGAAACGAUGAUUAAAACCUGAUGACCCCUUGAGAUGACUUCUUCUUAAGGUCAAAGAUUUAUCGGUAAGGGAUGGGCCUGCGUCUGAUUAGAUAGUUGGUGAGGUAACGGCCCACCAAGUCAACGAUCAGUAGCCGACCUGAGAGGGUGAUCGGCCACUUUGGAACUGAAACACGGUCCAAACUCCUACGGGAGGCAGCAGUGGGGAAUAUUGCACAAGGGGGGAAACCCUGAUGCAGCACCGCCGCGUGAAGGAUGAAGGUCUUCGGAUUGUAAACUUCUGUCCUUGGGGAAAAUAAUGACGGUCCCCAUGGAGGAAGCCCCGGCUAACUACGUGCCACCAGCCGCGGUAGAGAG